rnacentral:sRNA from 2 species
GUCGCUGCAAAUUCAGCGACCGGGUUUGGCGACCCGAUUGGGUGUAGGCGCAACAGCGCCCCUAUUACGUUUGCAGGCGCUUUUUUU